AUGUGCGCCCAGCGCUGGAACGACGGGUCUGGGGACAGGGAGGGCAGCGCGGCCUGCGAAGGUGGGGGUACCCGAGGAAGGUGUCCUGUUGUCGCCAGAUAUCCUGACAUCAACCCAAGAUGCGCAGGGUGCGGGGGCGCUCUGCAGGUCACCUGGACCUCCACUCUGUCCUCUGCAGAGGGAGAGAAGGAAGCCCCACCCACCUGGGAGAGUUGGAUGGCGAAGAGAAUCCAGCCUUUGUGACAUGCUUGUCCCUGGCAGAGAAAGUGAGAGAAAACACGAGAGGGGAGAAGGUCGGAGGGAGAAGCAGACACCCAAUGGAGCUGGGAGCCUGAUGCAGCACUUAAUCCCAGGACUCCGGGAUCAUGACCUGAGCCAAAGGCAGUCGCCCAACCAACUGAGCCACCCAGGCGCCCCAAUUUCUUUCUCUUCUUAAGUAAACUAUGUUACUGAAGUAUAACAUAUAUUCAAAGAAAUGUAUGCCUCCUAAGUAUACAGGCCAGGGUGCCUGAUUAGCCCAGUCAGUACAGCAUGUGACUCUUGAUCUCAAGGUCAUGAGUUCAAGCCCCACACUGGGCAUGGAGCCUAUUUUUUAAAAAAUCAAAACAAAAUAAAACCUAAGUGUACAGGUCAGUGAUUGUUACAAAUGAACACACCUGUGUAACCAGCACCCACGUCAGGAAAUAAAACAUCCCCAGCCCCUCAGAGUUCUCCACAUGACUCUGGAAAGCUAAACGUUAUCCUGGUCAGAUUCAUUUUUGCCAGUUUUGAACUUUAUAUAAAUGGAAUGAUCCCUAAUGAUACUCACAUCCUGGUCCCCAGAACUUUUAAAUGUUACCUUGCAUAGCAAAGGGGCUUUGCAGAUGUGAUUGAGUUAAGGACCUGGAGAUGGGGAAAUUAUGCUGGAUUAUUGGGUGGAUUCAGUGUCAUCACAGGAUCUCUAAAAGAAGAAGAGGGAAGCAGAAAGGCCAGACUGAUGCAGUAUGAGAAAGAUUCAACCUGCUGUUGAUGGCUUGAAGUUGGAAGAAGGGGGACACAGACCAAGGAAUGUGGGUGGUCUUUAGGAGGUGCAAACAGCAAGGAAACUGAUUCUUCCCUAGAGCUUCCGGAAUGGAAUACAGCUUUGAAGGCAGUGAGAAUCAUGUUGGACUUCUUCUUCUUUUUUUUUUUUUUUUUUUAAGAUUUUGUUUAUUUAUUUGACACACAGAGAGAGUGGGGGUGGUGGGGAAACACAAGCAGUGGGAGUGGGAGAGGGAGAAGCAGGCUUCCUGUGGAGCUGGGAGCCUGACACAGGGCUCGAUCCCAGGACCCUGGGAUCAUGACCUGAGCUGACACUUAAUGACUGAGCCACCCAGCUGCCCCCCAUGUUGGACUUCUAACCUACAAAACUGUCAGACAGUAAGUUUGUGUUGUUUCACAUCACUAAAUUUGGGUAAAUUGUUAUAGAAACAAUAGGAAACUAAUAAAAGUACUUAUUUUCUA